rnacentral:rRNA from 1 species
CCUACGGGAGACAGCAGUGAGGAAUAUUGGUCAAUGGACGAGAGUCUGAACCAGCCAAGUAGCGUGAAGGAUGACUGCCCUAUGGGUUGUAAACUUCUUUUAUAUGGGAAUAAAACGUUCCACGUGUGGGAUUUUGUAUGUACCAUAUGAAUAAGGAUCGGCUAACUCCGUGCCAGCAGCCGCGGUAAUACGGAGGAUCCGAGCGUUAUCCGGAUUUAUUGGGUUUAAAGGGAGCGUAGGUGGUUUGUUAAGUCAGUUGUGAAAGUUUGCGGCUCAACCGUAAAAUUGCAGUUGAAACUGGCAGUCUUGAGUACAGUAGAGGUAGGCGGAAUGCGUGGUGUAGCGGUGAAAUGCUUAGAUAUCACGAAGAACUCCGAUUGCGAAGGCAGUUCACUGGACUGCAACUGACACUGAGGCUCGAAAGUGUGGGUAUCAAACAGGAUUAGAUACCCUUGUAGUC